rnacentral:lncRNA from 1 species
GAUCAUCACUUUUCGUUGAGCUCUAACCGUGUACCUCCUCACCAUGUCAUUAUCUUCAUCUCUCUCCAUAAAGAAAACAACCCUGUCUUCGGGAGCAAGGCCUUUCUGCUCUACAAAACGAUGCCAAGUAGAGCGUAAAAGAACGGGUUUUGGGUAUGCUCCAGUCAGACGGGUUGCCAAGCAAAACCUCCAUACACUAUCAGUAGCAUCGACUGCUUCAAAUUUCAUCAUAUGGGCUCCUUCAGGA